GUAAUGAAAAAGGAAAAAAUCUACAAUUAUAUUUCUUUGAUAGUGAAAAUGAAGUGAGCAAUCGAAUGGCAUGUUCUGAUACAUUGAACUACUGUACUAUGAAAAAUUUAAUGAAAAUAUUAAAAACCAAAAACCAAUCCUUACUCUACGUUUUUGAAAUCCUUAAUAAAUAUCCCACAAUUAUCAGAUUUCUACAUUGCGCUCAAGUGUAAUGCUGGUCUAGACCAACAAAUAUACAACUUACCAACUACGUCAGAAGUGGCAGGGAUAUGGGUAGAACAAGAUACCAAUAAUUGUAUCCCUACGCCACAUAUCCGAAUAUUCCUACGCCACAUAUCCGAAUAUAUACAAAAAGUGAUAGAAGCCAACUGUAAACUAUUACAAAACAGUUCUACAACAACUAUUUCCGAUGAGCAUGCGGAAAAAAUAUUGCUCCUCACUUCGGAAGAGGUUUAUGAUAUCUGUAAUGUCAAGGUAUAUUCCGUUACAUGAAUUACAUCAUCAUAUAACAAGCUAUUAAUUCUGACUCCCGCUAUCUCAUCACUAUUCAUUAUGAUAUGAAGCACAUCAUAGAAUGUGUGAUUAGUUCUACCCUCCAUUCCAACAUAGACCAAUAGGAUUCAACGAUAUCCUUCAACCAAAAUCUUCAGUGUGGUGCAAAUAAACAAAACCACACUUUGGUUGUAGCUAUUGAUAAAGCUAAUGGAAUGUAGCAUCUUAUCCAUACUAUUUACAUUUUGUUUGCAAACAAUCUUGUUUCAUUCCGAGUAGAGAAACAAGAGCACCCACACACAACCAGCAAAGACAAUGCUUCCUACAACAAAUGUAAUGUGGAAAUGAAUAUUUCCCCUCCGAAAAACAGCUGAGAGGUAUUUGAAAUUUCUGUUCCUUCUAAAUUUAAUAUGAGAUUCAACUUUGUAGAAAAGACAGACAACUUAAACUACUAUCAUUUGUUAGCACUUUUGCCACUGAAACAACUUUUGCUACUAUUUUGGGAUGCAAGUGAAGCCACAUCUUGCUGUUGCUUUUGAAUGCGGUUAAGCUCACUUUUGCGACUGCUUUCUGGAUGUUCCUCUACUCGGAAUAUGUCGGCGACAUGAGAUAUUUUUGGUCAAGAACUACUAGAAAAAAGACCAGA